AUGGCAUGGUGGAUUUCUGUGGUAUAUGCGCCGCAAGGGAACAGGCCAAAAACCCAGUUCCUCCAUGAUCUAAGCGCCAGGAGGGCUGUCUGCCCGGGGCCGUGGAUGAUUCUCGGAGACUUUAACAUGAUCCUUCGAGCGAUGGAGAAAAACAACACCAACAUCAACAGGGCGAUGAUGGCAAAGUUCAGAGGUUUUUUGGACACCCAUGAGCUAAAGGAGCUGUACAUGCACGGUCGGUCGUUUACUUGGUCCAAUGAGAGGGGUACUCCGACGCUCACCAAAAUUGACAGGGUGUUAGUCUCGGUUGACUGGGAGUUGGCACACCCAGAGAACUUGCUACAGGUGCUAUCAUCGGGAGUUUCAGAUCAUGCGCCUCUGCACCUAUCCACCAACGCCCACUUCUAUCAAAAGAAGAGAUUUCGCUUCGAGGUGUAUUGGACAAGGCUCGAUGGUUUUGAUGAAGCGAUCCGGGACGCGUGGGUAUGCGAUGAGUCCAUUGUGGACCCUUUCAAAAAGCUCGAUGCUUUAUUCAAAAAUGUGAUGACUUAUCUUCAGGCAUGGGGACAGAGGAAGACGGGCAAUAUCAAGAUCCUCAUGACAGUGGCAAAUUGGCUGAUAUUCAGAUUCAACCAGGUGCAGGAAGAGAGGAUCCUGACUGACAUGGAGAUCUGGCUACGAAGAACCUUGAAGCUCACUCUACUUGGGUUAGCCUCGCUCGAGAGAACCAUGAGCGCAAAGAUCGCGUCUCAGAUGGCUAAAAGAAGGGGACGCUAA
rnacentral:rRNA from 1 species